rnacentral:tRNA from 1 species
UAGCUCAGUCGGUUAGAGCGUGGUGCUGAUAACGCCAAGGUUGCGGGUUUGAUCCCCAU